rnacentral:rRNA from 1 species
GACGAACCGAGCGACCGUUGUUCGGAAUCACUGGGCUUAAAGGGCGCGUAGGCGGGCUGUCAAGUCUGGGGUGAAAUCCCGCGGCUCAACCGUGGAACUGCCUCAGAUACUGACGGCCUCGAGGGAGGUAGGGGCGAGCGGAACUCUCAGUGGAGCGGUGAAAUGCGUUGAUAUUGGGAGGAACUCCGGUGGCGAAAGCGGCUCGCUGGACCUUUUCUGACGCUGAGGCGCGAAAGCUAGGGGAGCAAACGGG